rnacentral:rRNA from 1 species
UACGAAGGGGGCUAGCGUUGCUCGGAAUCACUGGGCGUAAAGCGCACGUAGGCGGAUUGUUAAGUCAGGGGUGAAAUCCUGGAGCUCAACUCCAGAACUGCCUUUGAUACUGAAGAUCUUGAGUUCGGGAGAGGUGAGUGGAACUGCGAGUGUAGAGGUGAAAUUCGUAGAUAUUCGCAAGAACACCAGUGGCGGAGGCGGCUCACUGGCCCGAUACUGACGCUGAGGCACGAAAGCGUGGGGAGCAAACAGG